ACGGGCUGACUGGCACUUGGAGAGUGGCAAGUCUUCCAGUAUGGGGAGCAAAACAGCUAUGGGUCAAGUCCGAUAUCUUUAGGAGAAGUCUUAUUGUGAGGGCGAGUUAUAUAACACCAUAGGACUGGCCGUCCCAUAUGAAAAGAUUAUAUUAGAAUUGAAUGAAGCUUUGUUUAUAUAUUGAUAAUGACAGUAUAUAUAUCGUGUCUUGACUAAUUGCGUGCCAGCAGUCGCGGUAAUACGUAAGAGACUAGUGUUAUUCAUCUUAAUUAGGUUUAAAGGGUACCCAGACGGUCAAUAUAGCUUAUAAAAUGUUAGUACUUGACUAGAGUUUUAUGUAAGAGGGCAGUACUUGAGGAGGAGAGAUGAAAUUUCGUGAUACCAAAGGGACUCUGUAAAGGCGAAGGCAGCCCUCUAUGUAAAAACUGACGUUGAAGGACGAAGGCACAGAGAACAAACAGGAUUAGAUACCCAAGUAGUCUUUGCAGUAAAUGAUGAAUGCCAUAGGUUAGAUUGAUCAAUUAUAGUCUAGGGUUAGUCUAGCAAACUAAUGCCCUAUGAUAUAAUUCAAAAUAUCUGGUCUAUAAAUGAAAGUGUAAGCAUUUCACCUCAAGAGUAAUGUGGCAACGCAGGAACUGAAAUCACUAGACCGUUUCUGACACCAGUAGUGAAGUAUGUUAUUUAAUG
rnacentral:rRNA from 1 species